UAUAAGAGAGCAGACUUAAAUUUUGUUUGGGCCAUGCUUCUCGAUCUCGUUAGACCAUGUCACCAUGACUGAUAAUAUUGAACGUGAAAGCUUUACAUUUGCAGAACUAUUUAUUGGUGAAAUUCCAUUUACUACAAUUGAUGCAGGAUAGGGUUACUUUGUACAUCACUGGCUUUUUGAUAACACUAACGGACGAUUUUACAGUGCAGAAACUUUAAAUGCAAUAUUCAAAGUGAAUCACUAUUUGAAAUUCCACAGCGAGAAAAUUAGUCAAAUUUAAGUCAAAGCAUUUAGAUUUGAAAUUAUGUUCGUAUUAACACUAUCCCUACUGGUUGUAUUUCAAUAGAUGCCACGUAAAUAUGAAAUAGUUAACACUAGGCCUAAGCCCACGGAAGAUGCUUUAAAGAAAGCUAUAGUUGAAGUCCAUACCAAACAAUGCGCGAUUAGAGGUGCUGCAGAAAAGUAUAACCUAAGCAAGUCAACUCUUGGUUUUUACUGUCUAAGAAAUUAACGGCAAUCUAUCGAGAACCAUCCUAUAAAAAAACCACACCAUCACAGUCAAAUAUUUUCAGUGCAACAAGAACAAGAACUUAGUGACUAUUUGAAAUAUAGAUGCAUUCUCAAUCAUGGACUAACUAAAAUGUUACACAUUUAUGAAUGGCUCGCUUUCAUCUCUCAAAAAUAAGAAAUUUUUCACGGUUCCUCCCAAUUCAACAACAAUAAUUGAACAACCAAAAUAUCCAUGCCUCUGUUUUGCUUUGUCCUUGAAGCUCAUGUUUUUUAUUUCAAAGUGAUGUUACAUUACGUUACCCAUAAAUGUUUCUCAUGAUGUUUCGAAUUUAUAUGUGGUCUUAAUCCAGUUCAUUCAAAAAAGAAAAAUAAUUAUCCAAGAAUAAAUUCAUCAUUGCUCAAUCAAA